GUCAGUAACCCAGCCCUAAAGGGACUGGGCUUGCAAGAGUAAUCAAGCAAGCCGUACUGACCAGACCACCCUGAGUUUACUCUCAUGGUAGCCGUUAUUUGAGUCACGACACCCCGGAAUGCGAAGCUAGUUCCCUGCUCUGUCAUUUGCAAUUAAACAGUUUUAAGGUCACUGAAACAGUGUUGCAAGUCUAAAAAGCUCUUAUAACAAGUCGAAGCUAACAUUAC
rfam:Aphanizomenon flos-aquae 2012/KM/D3 spades_2_len_T:69111, whole genome shotgun sequence.